AGGGCGGUAGCUCAAUUGGUAGAGCACUCGGCUCCAAACCGAGCGGUUGCGGGUUCAAGUCCUGUCCGCCCUGCCA
rnacentral:tRNA from 1 species